rnacentral:tRNA from 2 species
GGGCAGGUGGUGCAACUGGAAGACACGUACGGCUUAGGACCGUAUGCCGCAAGGCUUGAGGGUUCGAAUCCCUCCCUGCCCA